rnacentral:rRNA from 1 species
AUGGAUGAUGCAUUGCUUGAUGUCUUAGUUGAGCAUCACAACAAGGGUGACCAUGCCCAAAAUGGAUGGAAACCACAUGUGUACACGCAUGCCAUGAGGAAUGUGAAGGUCAAGUGCAAUAAGGAUAUCACAGAGGAUAACAUAAGUGGAAGGAUGAGGACUUUGGAUCAUCACUAUGAGGUCGUUAGCAAGAUCAUUUCUCAAAGUGGUUUCGGCUGGGAUUGGACCAAUAAUAGGCUAUCAAUGGAUAGUGAUGAUGUUUGGGCUAAAUAUGUGGAGGCUAACAAGGCAUGCAAGGAGAUAAAGUCUUACAAGACCAACAUAAUCAAGAACUAG